UACGAAGGGUGCAAACGUUGCUCGGAAUUAUUGGGCGUAAAGCGCACGUAGGCGGCUUGGCAAGUCGGAUGUGAAAUCCCUCGGCUCAACCAAGGAAGUGCAUCCGAAACUGCCGAGCUUGAGUACUUAAGAGGAUCGCGGAAUUCUCGGUGUAGCGGUGAAAUGCGUAGAUAUCGAGAGGAACACCUGCGGCGAAGGCGGGUUGCUGGGCUGACACUGACGCUGAGGCGCGAAAGCUAGGGGAGCGAACGGG
rnacentral:rRNA from 1 species